AACGAACGCUGGCGGCAUGCCUAACACAUGCAAGUCGAACGAGACCUUCGGGUCUGGUGGCGCACGGGUGCGUAACGCGUGGGAACCUGCCCGUAGGCUCCGAAUAACUCCCCGAAGGGGGUGCUAAUACAGGGUAAUGUCUUCUGACAAAAGAUUCAUCGCCCUGGUAUGAGCCGGCGUUGGUUUAGCCUGUUGGUAGGGUAAAAGCCUACCAAGGCUUGGAUCCGUAGCUGGGUAGAGAGGAGGAUCAGCAACACUGGGAAUGAGACACGGUCCAGACUCCGGGGGGAGGCAGCAGUGGGGAAUAUUGGGGAAGGGGAGCAAGGGUGAUCCAGCCAUACCGGGUGGGUGAAGAAGGCCGUCGGGUUGGAAAGCCCUUUUGUUGGGAAAGAAAAGAAGCAGUUUAAUACCCCGCUGUUCUGACGGUACCCAAAGAAUAAGCACCGGCUAACUUCGUGC
rnacentral:rRNA from 1 species